AUGAGCGUGCAUAGGAGGGGAAGUGAACUUGAGAAUGACGUGGGCGGAGUCACAGAGGACAGUGGCAAAAGGCAUACAACAGUGGAACUACUUUGUCUCAGAGCAGUCACUUGUCUACGGCAUCCUAAAGUAGAGCUGGUGUCAGAAUGUGGACCGGUUCCACAAAACCAACAACAUCAUGAUUCUGGUGGAUCUUAGAGGCCUGGUACCAGAAGUGUCCCGACCCUGUUUGCAAGAGCUUCAGAUCUUCCAGUACACGCUGGUUAACACUAAAAUGGUAUUGACUUUGAUUAAAUAGAAUAGAUAGUAUAUACUAAUAAUAGUAUUGACACAAGUCAUCUUAUAACCACAAUCGAGAGCCUGUGUUUUAGGCGAUUGUUAUACCAGUACGUCAUUAAUUGAAAUGACUUUGGAACAGCAGGAAGUCUUACAGAUUGUGCCUUUUUAAACCAAUAAUUUCCCCCUUCCAGGUUACCCAUUGCCCCAGGACAUCUGCGUCAGCUACAAUGGUGAGUUCUGUACCGGUUCCCCUCACUGCUACAAAAGUCACACUUGUUGCCAUUUUAAUAGAAAAUUACAUCUACAGUACCCGACUCUAUGGUGUACCUGACUUUCUCUGGCUACAUGAAUGGGUAACUCCAAAAAAGAAUCCCACAGUAACAGAAAAAUUGUAGAAGUUAAUAAGUUGUGAGUUUGUCUAUUUGGCGGCAGGAUGAGGAGGACCAGGCGUAUCUGAUGGACGACAUGGGGAACAUUGAGCUCAGCUAGACACCCCCAGCGGAGAAGUACCAGGGGGGCUCGGCAGCAACACUUCCCCAGGGAGAUGAGGCAGAUGACCAGGCCUACCUGGAGGCCCUGGAGGAUGUCGAGAGAAGCACAGGCAAUUUGGCAGAGGAUGAUGUCCCAGAUGAGCUUCUGCUCCAAACCAUGACUGAGUUUGAGUCCCUCAAAGAUUUGUGCUUGUCGGGCCACUAAGUGCAUUUUCCUUCAGUUCUGUUCAUGGAGACAAAGGGUGAGCAGGCUUUUGCUCCAGCUCAGAAGGAACCCACCCCAUUCAACUACUAUGUACAUAUUAACUAAAUUACCUUGACUAACCGGUGCCCCCACACAUUUACUCUGUACAGGUACCCCCUGUAUAUAGCCUCGCUUGUUAUUUUACUGCUGCUUUUUAAAUAUUUGUUACUUUUAUUUUUCUAUUUUUUACUUAACACUUGUUUUUUUCUUAACUUCUUAAAGCAUUGUUAGUUAAGGGCUUGUAAGUAAGCGUUUCACUGUAAGGUCUACACUUGUUGUAUUCGGCGCAUGUGACAAAUAAGAUUUGAUUUGAUUCAAGGGCUUGAUGCUUAGUUGAAUUAAGUGUGUUGAGGUGCUGGGCUGGAACAAAAGCCUGCCAGCCUGUGAAUCUCCAAGAGCAGAAUGGAAGAAGACUGCAUUAGAGGGAGGUUAUACUUGUCCAACAGUUCAUUUCUAAUUUGUAAUACAGUAAUUCAGUACAAUCCUCAAUUUCAAUUAUUGGCUGUUAAUGCACUUUAUAAACAGAGGUUUUUCCCAAUGACCUAGGCCUAUUCAAUGCAAGGUGCGUUAUAGCAGGGGUCUCCAACAGGUUGAUUGUAAGCUACCAAUAGCUCGCAGCCCACCUAUGAGUAGCUCGCCAAACAAUUCUGAAAGUACAUGCAAUUUUUUUCACGUGUUCCUCGCAAACUGUCAAACAAAUCUCACAAGUAUCAGACACCACAAGCUCCCAGCUACUAUCUAGUCAAUGCAACAUUGACAGUAUCCCACCCCUGGUCAGCCACUAUUGGCUUGAAAACCCAAACCUAACAAUAUCUGCCAAAUUAAUUUCCAGGAAUAUUGCUAGUCUGUCUGCGUCGUGCGUUUGUCUAUCACUCCGUGUGUAGCCAGAUAUAACUGUCUUGUGGGUUGACAGAAAUACUUUCCCCAAACCUUCUCAAUUAUCAUAAGUAUAUCAUUUGUAUCUAUUAUUUGCAAACUUUGCCAUGAAAUGAGCAGCCGCAGUACAGAACCGACACAUUAGACGGCACAUUCCUCACUCUUUAGAUGCACAAUUAAAAGGCCAGAUGCGCAAUUAAAGGGUAAAUAUUUUUUGUUUUCUUCCAGAUUUAAGCAUUGACAUACUCAGAACAUCCAAUUUUGUUGUUUCUUUAUGAACAAUUGUUAUUGAGAGUGAAAACAAAAAAUCUAUACAUUUGAAAAAGUAGCUCUCAUGGUAGAAAAGGUUGUGGAGACCCCUGCGUUACAGCAUGGCGCACUAUAACAUACUUUUAAAGGUAAUUUACGGUUAAGCUGACAAUCUCCACAAACGUCUGUGAAAAAGAGCAUUGUCGGCUGUGUAGGGCGCUUCACAAUAAAGCACCUUGCAUUGAAUGCCGGCCCUACUGGUUGUUCUGAUAGCGUGCAAUUGUAGAUAGCUUGGUAGGAUGUUUCUGAUAACUGAACAUUGAUAAACUACCAACUCCUUACCUGUUUUCUGGUACUUGUUUGUUCUGGAUUAUUUUGACUGAAUUUAUAAACAUAUGACUGCAAACCAUUUAUCUGCAAAUUGAGUCAUCAAGCAUGUGUCCACAGGCAUGGAAGGAAGCUAAAGUAAUUCCACUGCCUAAAAAUAGUAAAGCACCCUAAGCUGGCUCUUACAGCUGUCCAAUCAGUUUGCUGCCUGUUCUUAGUAAACUGAUGGAGAGAAUUGUGCUUGACCAAAUACAUUUUACAUUUAAUCAUUUAGCAGACGCUCUUAUCCAGAGUGACUUACAGUAGUGAGUGGAUACAUUUUCAUUUGUACUGGUUCCCCGUGGAAAUCGAACCCACAACCCUGGCAUUGCAAGUGCCAUGCUCUACCAACUGAGCCACACGAUAUCAUUUUUCAAAGAAGUUAACUUCUGAAUUUCAGAUAUAGGGCACUCAACUUGUACUGCACUUACUCAAAUGAAAGAUGAUUGGUUAAAAUAAAUGGAUAAUAAGAUAGUUGGAGCUGUAUUGUUAGAUUUCAGUUCAGCCUUACUUAUUGAUCAUAAAUUGUU
rnacentral:lncRNA from 1 species